rnacentral:rRNA from 1 species
UACAGAGGUCCCAAGCGUUGUUCGGAUUCAUUGGGCGUAAAGGGUACGUAGGUGGCGCCGUAAGUCGGGUGUGAAAUUUCGGAGCUUAACUCCGAAACUGCAUUCGAUACUGCGGUGCUUGAGGACUGGAGAGGAGACUGGAAUUCAUGGUGUAGCAGUGAAAUGCGUAGAGAUCAUGAGGAAGACCAGUGGCGAAGGCGGGUCUCUGGACAGUUCCUGACACUGAGGCA